GUGAAAUACAAAGAAAUAGUUUCAAGCAGAAUUCAAAUUUACUUAACCAAUCAAAAAUCAAAACAGCAGAGAAACGCUAUAAAUGCAGUACAUGUGAAAAAGCCUUCAUUCACAAUUCAUCCCUUCGUAAACAUCAGAAAAACCACACUGGAGAAAAAUUAUUUAAAUGUAAAGAAUGUUUAAAAGCUUUCAGCCAAAGUUCUGCUCUUAUUCAACAUCAAAGAACUCAUACAGGAGAGAAACCCUAUAUAUGUAAAGAAUGUGGGAAAGCCUUCAGCCAUAGUGCAUCCCUUUGUAAGCAUUUAAGGACCCAUACUGUGGAGAAAUGCUAUAGAUGUAAAGAAUGUGGUAAAUCCUUCAGUCGAAGGUCUGGGCUUUUUAUACAUCAAAAAAUCCAUGCUCAAGAAAAUCCCCAUAAAUACAAUCCAGGCAGGAAGGCAUCCAGUUACAGCACUUCCCUUUCUGGAAGUCAGAAAAUUCAUCUCAGAAAGAAGUCCUACUUAUGUAAUGAAUGUGGCAACACCUUUAAGUCUAGCUCAUCCCUUCGUUAUCAUCAGAGAAUUCACACUGGAGAGAAGCCUUUUAAAUGUAGUGAAUGUGGGAGAGCCUUCAGCCAGAGUGCCUCUCUUAUUCAACAUGAAAGAAUUCACACCGGAGAAAAGCCCUAUAGAUGCAAUGAAUGUGGGAAAGGCUUUACUUCUAUUUCACGACUUAAUAGACACCGAAUAAUUCAUACUGGAGAGAAAUUGUAUAAUUGUAAUGAAUGUGGUAAAGCCUUAAGCUCCCACUCAACACUUAUUAUUCAUGAGCGAAUUCAUACUGGAGAAAAACCAUGUAAAUGUAAAGUAUGUGGAAAAGCCUUCAGACAGAGUUCCGCUCUCAUUCAACAUCAGAGAAUGCAUACUGGAGAAAGACCCUAUAAGUGUAACGAAUGUGACAAAACAUUCAGGUGUAACUCAUCGCUUAGUAAUCACCAGAGAAUUCAUACUGGAGAGAAACCAUAUCGAUGUUUAGAAUGUGGGAUGUCUUUUGGCCAAAGUGCAGCUCUUAUACAACAUCAGAGGAUUCAUACAGGAGAAAAACCCUUUAAAUGUAAUACAUGUGGAAAAACUUUUAGACAAAGCUCAUCACUUAUUGCACAUCAAAGAAUUCAUACUGGAGAGAAACCCUAUGAAUGUAAUGCAUGUGGGAAACUCUUUAGCCAGAGGUCAUCCCUUACUAAUCAUUAUAAAAUUCACAUUGAAGAGGACUCCUUAAAAGCCGAUUUGCAUGUGUGAAAGCCUUAAACCAAAACUCAUCAGAGAAUACAUGCUUGAGAGUGAUUUAUUAAAUAUAAUGAAUAUGAGAAAACUCUUAGUUCUCAUCAGAUACUAAGUUUUAAGAAUAAACUUUAGCUAUGUAAUAACUUAUGGGAAAAGCUUUUAUACUUGUCACUCACUUUUUAAAAUAUCCCGAGACAGUUCACUGUUGCAGACAUUGAAAUUGGCCAUUUGUAAGAUAAAAGGUAUAAUACAAAUGGAGAGAUUUGCAUGGGAUGCAGAAAUAUGGAAGACUAACCAAGCAGACCAGGAGAGACCAGCAAUAGUGUCCCAGAGACCAUGAUGUCUGAGCCCAGUUUUGGAAGAAUAGCUGGGCAUGGUGGCUCACACCUGUAAUCCCAGCACUUUGGGAGGCCAAGACAAGAGGAUUGCUUGAGCCCAGGAAGGAGUUGGAGACCAGCCUGAGCAACAACAACAACAAAAUUAGCCAGGCAUAGUGGUGCACAUCUGUAGUCCCAGCUACUUGGGAGGCUGAGGUAAGAGAAUUGCUUGAGCUCAGGAGGUUGAGGCUGCAGUGAGCUGUGAUCCCACCACUGCACUCCAGCUUGGGGAAAGAGCAAGACUCUGCCUCCCCCACAUGCGCCCCCCCACCCCUGCCCCUGCCAGAAAAAUUGUUUGUGGAUCCCUGUUAUCAGAAUAAGGACAUUCCCUCAUAUUCCUAGUGUGAUGUGAGUUUUUAUCAUAAAAGGGAGUAGUAUUUUGUCAUGUCCAUUUUCUGCAUUGGUUGAAAUGAUCAUUUUGUUUUUCUCUUCAUUCUUUUAAUAGAUAAUUGUUUGAAUUUUGGUGUUAACCAAUGUUUCAUUCCUGAAAUAAAUUCUACUUGGUCAUGAU
rnacentral:lncRNA from 1 species